rnacentral:tRNA from 1 species
CUGGGUGUGGCUCAGUGGUAGAGCACUUGCCUAGCAUGUGUAAGUAGGCUUUGGGUUUGAUUCCCCAGCACCCAAA